CCUACGGGGGGCAGCAGUGAGGAAUAUUGGUCAAUGGGCGCAAGCCUGAACCAGCCAAGCCGCGUGAGGGAUGAAGGUUCUAUGGAUCUUAAACUUCUUUUAUAAGGGAGUAAAGUGUGGGUCGCGUCCUAUUUUGUAUGUACCUUAUGAAUAAGGAUCGGCUAACUCCGUGCCAGCAGCCGCGGUAAUACGGAGGUUCCGAGCGUUAGCCGGAUUUAUUGGGGUGAAAGGGUGCGUAGGCGGCCUUUUAAGUCAGUGGUGAAAGUCUGUGGCUCAACCAUAGAAUUGCCGUUGAAACUGGGGGGCUUGAGUAUGUUAGAGGCAGGCGGAAUGCGUGGUGUAGCGGUGAAAUGCUUAGAUAUCACGCAGAACCCCGAUUGCGAAGGCAGCCUGCCAAGCCAUGACUGACGCUGAGGCACGAAAGCGUGGGGAUCAAACAGGAUUAGAUACCCCAGUAGUC
rnacentral:rRNA from 1 species